GUAGGAAAAUAGUCCCUUCGAGAAACUAAUUCCUUUUUUGCGAGCUCCAUCAGAACGGGAGGGGAUUAUCCGAUAAGGCAGCCAAGCGAGUCCCCAGCAGCGGUAGCGGCCCGGCGGUGGCGGUUGCGGCUUGAACAAGGUGAUGGCUUUCUACCUCUCUCCUGCAGCACGUUCCUUUACGCACCUCCACUCUUCCUCCCUUCCUCUACCUCCUUCUUCGUCGCCCUCACUCAGGAGGAGCAGAAGGAGAAGCCUCAUUCCCUCCCACCCUGUUUCCUUCCCCUUCCUCCUUCAUCUCCAUCGGCAUCCUCACAAGCCCCUCAACGUCUACCUAGAAGAUCCCAACACUUCUCCUCCUUCUACUCCAUCUUCCAAUCCGACGCCCUCCAAGAACUCCAUAUGGGUCAACCCCAACAGCCCCCGCGCCUCCCGCCUCCGCAAGCACACCUCCGGCUCUCGUUAUGCCCUCCUCAUCCGCCUUGCUGCCUCCCUCGACUCUUCGGAUUCCUCCGACCUCGCCAUCUCCACCGUCCUCGCCUCCCUCGGCAGCGCCGCCUCCGAGCAGGACGCCGUCACUGUCCUUAACUCCAUGUCCAACUCUCAUAACGCCGUCCUUGCUCUUCGUUGGUUCCAGAGCAACAUUAGGAUCAAAAGGGAGGUAAUUCUCCACAACGUUGCACUUAAGGUUUUCAGAAAGUCCAAGGACUGGGCUGGCGCGGAGGCUCUAUGGUGGAACAUGCUGGAAAAGGGAAUCAAGCCGGAUAAUGUGACGUUCACGACCAUGAUUAGCUGUGCCAGGUUCUGCAACAAGCCCGAACAAGCAGUCAAGUUGUUUGAGAAAAUGCCCGAGUUUGGAUGCUGCCCAGAUGAUAUCACCUACUCGGCCAUGAUUGAUGCUUAUGGUCGGUCGAGUAAUGUGGAGAUGGCUCUUGAGUUGUACGGUCGAGCUCGUGAGGAAAAGUGGCAACUUGAUCCUGCGACUUUUGCUACAGUGAUAAGGGUCUAUGGCAUGUCAGGUGAUUUUGAUGGAGCAUUGAAUGUGUAUGAGGAAAUGAAGGCUCUUGGUGUGAAGCCAAAUGUUUUUAUUUACAAUACAUUGUUGGAUGCCAUGGGCAGGGCAGGAAGGCCAUGGCAAGUCAAGACUAUUUACCGUGAAAUGUGCAGCACGGGGUUGGCUCCUAACAGAGCAACAUACUCAGCUCUUCUGCGAGCAUAUGCUAAAGCUAGAUAUGCUGAAGAUGCACUCAGCGUGUAUAAGCAGAUGAAGAAAGAAAUGGAGCUUGAUGUCAUCUUAUACAAUAUGCUUUUGUCAAUGUGUGCUGACGUUGGUUUGGUUGAUGAAGCAGUGAAAAUAUUUAAUGAAAUGAAGGGUCUAUCAGAUGAGUCCAAACCAGAUAGCUGGAGUUAUUCAGCCUUGAUAACUGCAUACUCAUGUAGUGGAAAAGUUUCUGAGGCUGAAACCAUGUUGAAUAACAUGUUAGAUGCUGGGUUUCAGCCAAAUAUUUUUGUGCUUACAUCUUUAAUCCAGUGCUACGGUAAAGCUGGAAAGACUGAUAGUGUUGUGGAAGCAUUUGACAAACUUCUAGGGUGGGGGAUCAAACCUGAUGAUAGGUUCUGUGGAUGUCUCUUGAAUGUGGCAGCUCAGACGGCAACAGAAGAACUAGGGAAGAUUAUUGGUUGUAUUGAAAGAGGAAAUACUCAGUUGGGUUCUUUAGUAAUGUUACUGGUGGAUGAGGGAAGUAACAAUGAUACUAUUAGACAAGAAGCUGAAGUACUCUUUAAUAAUGUGAGUAGUGAAGUCAAAAGAGCUUAUAGUAAUUGUUUGAUAGAUCUCUGUGUAAACCUCAACUAUUUGGAAAGAGCUUGUGUGCUCCUCAACCUGGCAAUUCAGCUUGAGAUAUACACAGAUCUUCAAUCUCGAUCUGCUACACAGUGGUCCUUACAUGUGAAGAGUCUCUCACUUGGAGCAGCUCUAACUGCAUUACAUGUAUGGAUGAAUGAUUUAACCAAAUCUUUGCAGAGUGGGCAGGACUUGCCUCCGUUACUUGGUAUUCACACAGGGCAUGGAAAACAUAGAUACUCAGAAAAAGGGUUAGCAUCUUGUUUUGAGCCUCACUUGAGGGAAAUUGGUGCACCAUUUCAUGAAGCACCAGACAAGGCUGGAUGGUUUCUGACCACAAAAGUUGCAGCUCAAUCAUGGUUGGAGUCGGGGAACUCAUCUUACAUAGCUGCUGCUUAGGCUACAGAGUUAGGUUAGUAUUCACUUCACAAUUGUUCGAGCAAAGGAUGCAUAUGAUUGGUUCCACUGAAUAUGUCCAGAGGUAAGCCAACUACCAACACAAUCUAGCUAACAACUCUUGAGUGUCUGGCAGUCUUGCUUUAAAGGCUGUUACUAAUAAGGCAAUUAUGAUUAUCAAGAAAACCUGCAUUGGAUUUCAUCCAGAAAGAGUAAAGAUUGAUCUCAUAGGUUAUUACAUGUUCAAGCUAUCUAUGUUGAUCUUAACCAUCCUGAGCAUUCUAACAAGCAACUUAGAACCUGAACUCUUAUGAAUCAUAUAUUUAUCUUGAAGGUAAUAUGGACAUCUGGAUGGUUUGCCAUUUUAUUUCUAACAAAAGGUUUCACUAAGUCUCAGACCUCAUUUGUUUGAUCUUCAUAUCUGUGCUUACUGUUUGCCUGAUUUCUAGCUUCUCAAAUUUGGCACUUUCUAUGGACAUGAACAAAACUCUUUCUGCAAUAAAACAAUUUUCCAAGUUCAAGAAAUUCACAAUACACAGAAAAAUGCCCUCUGUAAUUUAUAUUCCAGCGUCAACAAUAGAAUAACCAUCUUAUUUAAUGAAAUCUUGACCGUACGAGCAGGAAACCAUGGUUCAAGUGUCCCUACCCUUUAUUUUAUUUAUUUUUGAAAAUGGAUGUCUGAACAAUUAGGUCAGGGACCAAAAGUAGAACAGCAACUCUUGAAGGAAAAAAGUUCAAAGGACAAACAUACCCAUAAUACAAUUUUGCAACCUGUUGAGUUCAAUUAUUACAGGGUCAGAAGGGCUAGCAAAGAGUUCCGUGGCCCCAGCUGCAUCUCCCAAGCUGCCCAUUGCACCGCACACUUCUCUACUUCAAGCAGCUUGUUCCUCUUCUCACUUCCAGAGAAGACAACCGUGUCACAAAAACUGGAGGAUUCAUGGCAAUUUAUGAUGAAGGGUAUCUUGACAAACACUGCCCAUUCUCCAGGUGGUAUUCACCAGAGAAAGAGCAGCUGAAGCCGGCUACAACUCAGCUUGAUAGCUAUCAUUUGUAGGCAGAAAAAGAAGUAAUGGUUUAUCAGGCUCUGUGCAAUCAAUGUAUCAAACUUAAGCCAACAAAGAAACGUUCUCCUGUUUGCACUGAGCCGAGCAUAUAAACCCAGGUAAGUUCAUGGUUGAACAGACUCAGAGAGAUUAUUUUGAUGCAGGAAAAAAAGAGAGAAGGCCUAAUUCUUAGCUUGGAAGAAUUUAUAUCAUUAAGUUUUUUUUUUAUUCUUUUGAUCUUGUUAGAGGAUAAAGACUCUUAUCACCAGCCAGUGCAACAUUACUUGCUUCUGGUCAUUGAAUCCACAUUGCAUUUGAUGAGUUCAGAUUUCAGCUUCACUAUUUCCAACUAAAACUAGAUUGUGAUGUGAAGCUUAUCCAAAAAUUAGGUGAUUCUUCUUCUUCUUUUUACAUAUAUCAUAAUCUGUGUAGCCGGUGAACGCGGUUUACAGAAAUCAAACACUGGACAAACUUCUUGGAAAAGAUUCAUAGGACUCAUGUGAACUGUUCUUUUGUUUAUUGUUGUCUAUUUGGCUUAACAAUUGUACUUCUUGUUGCGCUUUUGAACAGGUCGAAAUGUGAAAUCUGAAAGCAAAGCUUACAAUUAUAAGCCUUUGAUCAAAAUGUCUAGUGGCCCAUUGAUUUGGAUUAAAUGGUUGGUGAGAAGGUGACACAAAGUGGAAAUACUAUCUACUGAGGUCAGUAUGUUUUUUUUAAUCUAUUGAAUUCAAAUAUAAAAUAGAUAAUCAUACAUCUUUGCUUUUUUUUCAUUUAAAUAAAAUUUUCAGACAACUACUAACUUUUCAUUGUCAAUGUGUAGACAACUGCUUUUAUUCUCUACUUUUGCAAAUCUUUGAAAUUUGGGUUGGAAAUGUGAAUACAAUAAAGAGACGGAGAUGAGACGAAGAAAUUUUAUUUUGCA